rnacentral:rRNA from 1 species
CGUACACGGUGGAUGCCCUGGCAGUCAGAGGCGAUGAAGGACGUGCUAAUCUGCGAUAAGCGUCGGUAAGGUGAUAUGAACCGUUAUAACCGGCGAUUUCCGAAUGGGGAAACCCAGUGUGUUUCGACACACUAUCAUUAACUGAAUCCAUAGGUUAAUGAGGCGAACCGGGGGAACUGAAACAUCUAAGUACCCCGAGGAAAAGAAAUCAACCGAGAUUCCCCCAGUAGCGGCGAGCGAACGGGGAGCAGCCCAGAGCCUGAAUCAGUGUGUGUGUUAGUGGAAGCGUCUGGAAAGGCGCGCGAUACAGGGUGACAGCCCCGUACACAAAAAUGCACAUAUUGUGAGCUCGAUGAGUAGGGCGGGACACGUGGUAUCCUGUCUGAAUAUGGGGGGACCAUCCUCCAAGGCUAAAUACUCCUGACUGACCGAUAGUGAACCAGUACCGUGAGGGAAAGGCGAAAAGAACCCCGGCGAGGGGAGUGAAAAAGAACCUGAAACCGUGUACGUACAAGCAGUGGGAGCACGCUUAGGCGUGUGACUGCGUACCUUUUGUAU